CCAGACUCCUACGGGAGGCAGCAGUGGGGGAUAUUGCACAAUGGGGGAAACCCUGAUGCAGCGACGCCGCGUGAGUGAAGAAGUAUUUCGGUAUGUAAAGCUCUGUCAGCAGGGAAGAAAAUGACAGUACCUGACCAAGAAGCCCCGGCUAACUACGUGCCAGCAGCCGCGGUAAUACGUAGGGGGCAAGCGUUAUCCGGAUUUACUGGGUGUAAAGGGAGCGUAGACGGUUAUGUAAGUCUGGAGUGAAAGCCCGGGGCCCAACCCCGGGACUGCUUUGGAAACUGUGUAACUGGAGUACAGGAGGGGCAGGUGGAAUUCCUGGUGUAGCGGUGAAAUGCGUAGAUAUUAGGAGGAACACCAGUGGCGAAGGCGACUUUCUGGACGAUAACUGACGUUGAGGCACGAAAGUGUGGGGAGCAAACAGGAUUAGAUACCCCCGUAC
rnacentral:rRNA from 1 species